CCCUGCUUUUGUGGGGUGCUCGAGUGGCGAACGGGUGAGUAACACGUGAGUAACCUGCCCUUGACUUUGGGAUAACUUCAGGAAACUGGGGCUAAUACCGGAUAGGAGCUCCUGCUGCAUGGUGGGGGUUGGAAAGUUUCGGCGGUUGGAGAUGGACUCGCGGCUUAUCAGCUUGUUGGUGGGGUAGUGGCUUACCAAGGCUUUGACGGGUAGCCGGCCUGAGAGGGUGACCGGCCACAUUGGGACUGAGAUACGGCCCAGACUCCUACGGGAGGCAGCAGUGGGGAAUAUUGCACAAUGGGCGGAAGCCUGAUGCAGCAACGCCGCGUGCGGGAUGACGGCCUUCGGGUUGUAAACCGCUUUCGCCUGUGACGAAGCGUGAGUGACGGUAAUGGGUAAAGAAGCACCGGCUAACUACGUGCCAGCAGCCGCGGUGAUACGUAGGGUGCGAGCGUUGUCCGGAUUUAUUGGGCGUAAAGGGCUCGUAGGUGGUUGAUCGCGUCGGAAGUGUAAUCUUGGGGCUUAACCCUGAGCGUGCUUUCGAUACGGGUUGACUUGAGGAAGGUAGGGGAGAAUGGAAUUCCUGGUGGAGCGGUGGAAUGCGCAGAUAUCAGGAGGAACACCAGUGGCGAAGGCGGUUCUCUGGGCCUUUCCUGACGCUGAGGAGCGAAAGCGUGGGGAGCGAACAGGCUUAGAUACCCUGGUAGUCCACGCUGUAAACGGUGGGUACUAGGUGUGGGGUCCAUUCCACGGGUUCCGUGCCGUAGCUAACGCUUUAAGUACCCCGCCUGGGGAGUACGGCCGCAAGGCUAAAACUCAAAGGAAUUGACGGGGCCCCGCACAAGCGGCGGAGCAUGCGGAUUAAUUCGAUGCAACGCGUAGAACCUUACCUGGGUUUGACAUGGAUCGGGAGUGCUCAGAGAUGGGUGUGCCUCUUUUGGGGUCGGUUCACAGGUGGUGCAUGGCUGUCGUCAGCUCGUGUCGUGAGAUGUUGGGUUAAGUCCCGCAACGAGCGCAACCCUUGUUCACUGUUGCCAGCACGUUAUGGUGGGGACUCAGUGGAGACCGCCGGGGUCAAC
rnacentral:rRNA from 1 species